AUGGGGCGCGCCGAUGGAGAAGACAAGGCCGCGCUCUCCCCCGGCGGGGAGGACACCGCCGACCUCUCCCCCGACGACUCGCCGUGGAGCGACAGCGCCUGGUCCGAGGACGACGACGACGACGAGGCAUCGCUGUCGUUCGAGGACAGCGGCGAGGGCUCUGGCUCCGACGCCGACUCCGACGGCCUGGAGGAGGAGGAUGAUGCCGCGGCGGAAGAGAGCGACUCCUCCGAGGACGAGGUUGCGCCGCGGAACACCGUCGGGAACGUGCCGCUCCAGUGGUACAAGGACGAGGAGCACAUCGGUUACGACAUCUCAGCGAGGAAGAUCAAGAAGCGGGACAGGGAGGGCAGAAUCGACAGCUUCCUCAGCAGCAAAGAUAACGAUGAUGACUGGUUAAAGAUUUGGGAUGACUAUAAUGCCGAGGAGGUGAAGAUUACCAAGGAAGAAGCUAAGAUAAUUAGUAGAAUGAUGAAGGGGAAGACUCCACAUGCCAAUGUUGAUCCAUAUCCAGAUUAUGUUGACUGGUUUGAAUAUGCUGAUAAAGGCCAUCCACUUUCUAACGCUCCUGAGCCAAAGAGGCGAUUUGUGCCCUCGAAAUGGGAGCAAAAGAAGGUUGUUAAACUUGUUAGAGCCAUUCGUAAAGGAUGGAUCAAGUUUGACAAGCCAAAGGAUGAGCCAAACUAUUAUCUCUUGUGGGGAGAUGACACUGAUACAGCAGACAAUAAGCGGCAAGGCUUGAGCUACAUUCCUGCACCUAAACCAAAUUUGCCAGGUCAUGAAGAGUCGUAUAAUCCUUCUGUUGAAUAUAUUCCCACACAAGAGGAGAUAGAUAACUACCAGCUUAUGUAUGAGGAGGACAGGCCAAAAUUCAUCCCACGACGAUUUGAAUCUCUUAGAAGUGUACCUGCCUACGAGAAGGCACUUAGGGAAGGAUUUGAUCGGUGCCUAGAUCUUUAUCUAUGUCCUAGAACUCGCAAGAAGCGUAUAAACAUUGAUCCUGAGUCGCUCAAGCCAAAGUUACCCAGUAAAAAGGAUCUGAGGCCAUAUCCACGAACUUGUUACCUUGAGUUCAAGGGCCAUGGUGGUCCAGUGACGUCGCUGUCAGUUGAAGCAACAGGGCAGUGGAUAGCAUCAGGUUCAUCUGAUGGAACAAUUCGUGUUUGGGAGGUUGAAACUGGUCGCUGUCUUAAGGUUUUCAAUGUUGGUGCUGAUGUCCAUCAUAUUUCGUGGAAUCCUUCACCUGAGAGGCCCAUUCUGGCUGCUAUUGUUGGCCGUGAUCUUCUGCUUCUUAACACUGAGGUGGGGGAUGAGGAAACACAAGUGAGGACAAAGGAGCUCCUCCAUGUAGAGGAACCGACCCCUGAAGAUGAUGGUGAUAAGAAACCAGCUGUGAGGUGGGUGAAUAAUGACAAAUUUGACGGAAUCACAUUGAUUCAUCAUAGGGCUGCAUCAACCGUGGAGUGGCAUUCGAAGGGAGACUAUUUCACGACAGUCGUGCCAACUGGUGAAUCAAGGGCUGUAUUGUUGCAUCAGCUCUCCAAGAAGCAUUCUCACCAUCCUUUCCGUAAAUUGCCGGGACUCCCUGUAGCAGCAGUAUUCCAUCCAACUCAAAAGAUGUUCUUUGUUGCCACUAAGAAGUUUGUUCAGGUUUAUGAUCUCCAAAAGGCAGAGGUAGUCAAGAAGCUGGAGUCAGGUCUCCGUGAGAUUUCCUCUAUCUCUAUCCACCCUGGUGGCGAUAAUGUUAUUGUGGGAAGUAAAGAUGGUAAAUUGUGCUGGUUUGACACUGAUCUGUCUACAAGGCCGUACAAGAUGUUAAAGAACCACUCGAAGGAUAUAACCAGUGUUACUUUCCACCGGAGAUACCCUCUUUUUGCCUCAUCGUCGGAGGAUUGUACAGCCCAUGUGUUCCAUGGGAUGGUUUAUGCUGAUCUCAACCAGAACCCACUUAUUGUGCCAUUGGAGAUUCUUCGUGGCCAUUUAAGUUCAGAUAGAAGAGGAGUUUUGGAUUGCAAAUUCCACCCAAGACAACCGUGGUUGUUCACCGCCGGUGCCGACUCGAUGAUUAGGCUAUACUGCGACUGA
rnacentral:rRNA from 1 species